rnacentral:rRNA from 1 species
AUGUCUUCAGGUAAUAAAGAUAUCUUAAUCAAAUCAGUAGCUCAAGCUAUUCCGGCUUAUGUUAUGAGUGUUUUCAAACUCCCUGCAUCGGUGUGUGUGUGUGUUGAGAAAGGAAAGAGAAAGAUGGCCUGGUUGAGCUUUAGAGACAUGAGGGCUUUCAACCAGGCACUCCUUGCGAAGCAAGCUUGGAGACUCAUGGAUUCUCCAAGUAGUCUAUGUGCAAGGUUACUGAAAGCUAAAUACUAUCCAUCGGGGCGUCUAUUAGACACUCUGUUUUCUGGUAAUGGUUCAGCAGUGUGUGGAAAGGUAUUUUACAUGGUCUUGAACUGUUGA